GCCAGCAUGGUGUGGUGGUUUAAAUGUUGGACUGCAACUCUGGAGACCAGGGUUCAAUUUCCUGCUCGGCCA